rnacentral:rRNA from 1 species
GAUGAACGCUGGCGGCGUGCUUAACACAUGCAAGUCGAACGAACCUUCGGGUUAGUGGCGGACGGGUGAGUAACGCGUGAGAAUCUGCCCUCAGGAGGGGGAUAACGGCUGGAAACGGCCGCUAAUACCCCAUAUGCCGAGAGGUGAAAUGAAAUUCGCCUGAGGAUGAGCUCGCGUCUGAUUAGCUAGUUGGUGGGGUAAAGGCCCACCAAGGCAUCGAUCAGUAGCUGGUCUGAGAGGAUGAUCAGCCACACUGGGACUGAGACACGGCCCAGACUCCUACGGGAGGCAGCAGUGGGGAAUUUUCCGCAAUGGGCGAAAGCCUGACGGAGCAACGCCGCGUGAGGGAUGAAGGCCUCUGGGCUGUAAACCUCUUUUCUCAAGGAAGAAGAACUGACGGUACUUGAGGAAUAAGCCACGGCUAAUUCCGUG